rnacentral:rRNA from 1 species
UACGGGGGGAGCAAGCGUUGUUCGGAUUUACUGGGCGUAAAGGGCGCGUAGGCGGCCACCGCAAGUCGACUGUGAAAUCUCCGGGCUUAACUCGGAAAGGUCAGCCGAUACUGUGCGACUAGAGUGCAGAAGGGGCAACUGGAAUUCUCGGUGUAGCGGUGAAAUGCGUAGAUAUCGAGAGGAACACCUGCGGCGAAGGCGGGUUGCUGGGCUGACACUGACGCUGAUGCGCGAAAGCCAGGGGAGCGAACGGG